rnacentral:lncRNA from 1 species
GUUUAUUGUAAGUACGUGUGCUUUAUGUGACUGGUGCGAUAUGGGUUUUGUUGCCCAUGUGUUUUGUUAUUUUUGUAUGCCGGUAGUUAUGUACAUUUAACAGCUCCGGCUAUUUACCAAGUUCUGCUCUCCUGCGUUUGACUUCCAUGCCACCAGUUACGCACCCCUGACACCGUGGAGUAGAUUUGCACAGGGGCUACACUUGAGGCAUGUUGAUAUGAUAGAGGAUGGCAUUGCACGGAGCACAAGGACCCUGACAAGGAUGACGAAAAGUCUGAGAAAGUGCAAUCGUGGAAUGAUGAGGCCAACGUGGAGAAGACAGGGUUGGGUGUUUGGGAUGUUGGAGGUCAAACACAACAGACGGCGCCAGUUCUUAAAAUGGUGGAAAACCGUACACAGGAAACUUUAAUCCCUUUCAUCAGACGACAUGUGCGAAGAGGUUCCACCAUUCUGAGUGACUGCUGGAAAGCGUAUGUCAGGUCUCUGAAUAGUCUGGGUUACAAUCACCAAACAGUCAACCACACAAACAACUUUGUGGAUCCUCACACAAGAUGUCACACACAACACAUUGAAAGAGCGUGCCAGACAAUAAAGGGACAGGUCUGGAGGCUAAGAGGGAAUCGGACCAAAAAAAGUUUAAACAAGCAUCUCCAUUUUAUUGAGUGGAUGUACUGGUUGGGUAAAGAAAAUAAUAAAGGAGUACUCUCUCAACUCUUCAAACACAUCCGAUAAGUAUAUCAGCUGUAGGAUUUUCACUCGUAGUAUGCACCCCCUAGAGGAAAUGUAUUGUCAAGACCAUUCCAAGCUGUAAGAUCAGACAUUGUUUGUCACAUAAGUGUUAUCUUUCAAAAAAAGAGCUUAAUGGGUCCCGUGUGGCUCAGUUGGUAGAGCAUGGUGUUUGCAACGCCAGGGUUGUGGGUUCGAUUACCACGGGGGACCAGUACGGGGAAAAAAUUUAUGAAAUGUAUGCAUUCACUACUGUAAGUUGCUCUGGAUAAGAGUGUCUGCUAAAUGACGUAAAUGUAAAUGUGAUGAACUAUCCGAGUUGUAACUGAGACCUUUCCAUUUCAAUGUGAAUAGAAUACUUACAGAUGAGUUGUUUGUUGCACAGUGCCUCAAAAAGGACAUUCAGUUCCAAAUAUUUUGUGAUUUUUAUAAA